CAUAUGGAUUCCUACGGGAGGCAGCAGUUUGGAAUAUUGGACAAUGGACGAAAGUCUGAUCCAGCGACGCCGCGUGCACGAUGAAGGCCUUCGGGUCGUAAAGUGCUUUUGCUUGUGAACAAUUUUUGAGCGUAGCAAGCGAAUAAGAGGUUGCUAACUCUGUGCCAGCAGCAGCGGUAAUACAGAGACCUCAAGCGUUAUCCGGAAUCAUUGGGCGUAAAGCGUACCGAUAGGUGGUUUAGAUAGUUUUGGGUAAAAGCCAGGAGCUCAACUUCUGCGUUUGCUCAAAAUACUUCUCAACUAGAGGGGCAAAGAGGUCCUUGGAACGAACGGUGUAGUAGUGAAAUGCGUUGAUAUCGUUCGGAACACCGAAAGCGAAGGCAGAGGACUGGGUGCCACCUGACACUACUAGGACGAAAGCGUGGGGAGCGAAUGGGAUUAGAUACCCCAGUAGUCCACGCUGUAAACGAUGAGUGCUAGGCAUGCGCGAGUAUCGACCCUCGUGCGAGCCGCAGCUAACGCGUUAAGCACUCCGCCUGGGGAGUACGGCCGCAAGGCUAAAACUCAAAGGAAUUGACGGGGACCCGCACAAGCGGUGGAGCAUGUGGUUUAAUUCGACGGUAAGCGAGGAACCUUACCAGGGUUUGACAUGUAGCUGCAAGCGCACGGAAACGUGUGAUCUUCGAGAGUGCUACACAGGUACUGCACGGUUGUCGUCAGCUCGUGUCGUGAGAUGUUCCCUUAAGUGGGAGAACGAGCGCAACCCCCGUAGUAUGUUGAUUUUCAUACUAGACUGCCAGCGUUUAAGCUGGAGGAAGGUGGGGAUGACGUCAAAUCAGCGUGGUCUUUACGCCCUGGGCCACACACGUGCUACAAUGGGUAGGAACAAAGGGACGCAACAUCGCAAGAUAGAGCAAAUCCUCUCAAAAACUACCCUCAGUUCAGAUUGUGGGCUGCAACUCGCCCGCAUGAAGCUGGAAUCGCUAGUAACCGUGAAUCAGCCUCGUCACGGUGAAUACGUUCUCGGGCCUUGUACACACCGCCAUCGGAU
rnacentral:rRNA from 1 species